AUUAGAUUUUUAAAAAACCUAAUAAAUUCCUAAUUUUGAAGAUGUCUUUUUCUUUUCCUCCUAGGAAACCACACAGAAAACUCAUGCAAGUGAUACUUACAGUACUUACAGUUUUCUCGAUCGGAGUCAGCAUUCACUAUUCAUUGCCAGAGGCAGCUGAGGAAACCAAGUCCUAUGCCAUUCCACUGUGCCAUGUUCAGGCAUUGAAUAUAUACCUGGGAAGAAAGGCAAAAUCCAGAUGGAAGAUUUCAGCACAUGCUAUGGAGUGAAGAUUAAUAGAAG
rnacentral:lncRNA from 1 species